AUACGUAGGGGGCGAGCGUUGUCCGGAGUUACUGGGCGUAAAGGGUGCGUAGGCGGCCCAUUAAGUCAGGUGUGAAAAACCCUGGCUCAACCGGGGUAUUGCACUUGAAACUGGUGGGCUUGAGUGCAGGAGAGGGAAGCGGAAUUCCUGGUGUAGCGGUGAAAUGCGUAGAUAUCAGGAGGAACACCAGUGGCGAAGGCGGCUUCCUGGCCUGUAACUGACGCUGAGGCACGAAAGCGUGGGGAGCAAACAGGAUUAGAUACCCUGGUAGUCCACGCUGUAAACGAUGGAUACUAGGUGUAGGAGGCGAUUGAGCCUUCUGUGCCGAAGUUAACGCAAUAAGUAUCCCGCCUGGGGAGUACGGCCGCAAGGUUGAA
rnacentral:rRNA from 1 species